GACGAACGCUGGCGGCGUGCUUAACACAUGCAAGUCGAACGAUGAAGCCUUUCGGGGUGGAUUAGUGGCGAACGGGUGAGUAACACGUGGGUAAUCUGCCUUGCACUCUGGGAUAAGCCUGGGAAACUGGGUCUAAUACCGGAUAUGACUACUUCACGCAUGUGGGGUGGUGGAAAAUUCUGGCGGUGUGAGAUGAACCCGCGGCCUAUCAGCUUGUUGGUGGGGUGAUGGCCUACCAAGGCGACGACGGGUAGCCGGCCUGAGAGGGCGACCGGUCACACUGGGACUGAGACACGGCCCAGACUCCUACGGGAGGCAGCAGUGGGGAAUAUUGCACAAUGGGCGAAAGCCUGAUGCAGCGACGCCGCGUGA
rnacentral:rRNA from 1 species